rnacentral:rRNA from 1 species
AGGACUAACGCUGGCGGCGUGCCUAACACAUGCAAGUCGAACGGGGGUAGCAAUACCCCAGUGGCAGACGGGUGAGUAACACGUGGUCAACCUACCUCUGUGUGGGGGAUAACUAGCCGAAAGGUUAGCUAAUACCGCAUACGAUCGUUUUGAGGCAUCUCGAGACGAUGAAAGGAGCAAUCCGCACGGAGAGGGGACUGCGUCCCAUUAGUUAGUUGGUGGGGUAACGGCCUACCAAGACUCCGAUGGGUAGCUGGCUUGAGAGAGCGACCAGCCACACUGGAACUGAGACACGGUCCAGACUCCUACGGGAGGCAGCAGUGAGGAAUUUUCCGCAAUGGGCGAAAGCCUGACGGAGCGACGCCGCGUGUGGGAUGAAGGCCUUCGGGUCGUAAACCACUGUCGAAGGGGACGAUAGUUGACGGUACCCUUGGAGGAAGCCCCGGCUAACUACGUGCCAGCAGCCGC